rnacentral:rRNA from 1 species
UUAGCAUGGAAUAAUAAAAUAGGACGUGUGGUUCUAUUUUGUUGGUUUCUAGGACCGCCGUAAUGAUUAAUAGGGACAGUCGGGGGCAUCAGUAUUCAAUUGUCAGAGGUGAAAUUCUUGGAUUUAUUGAAGACUAACUACUGCGAAAGCAUUUGCCAAGGAUGUUUUCAUUAAUCAGGAACGAAAGUUAGGGGAUCGAAGACGAUCAGAUACCGUCGUAGUCUUAACCAUAAACUAUGCCGACUAGGGAUCGGACGAUGUUAUAUUUUGACUCGUUCGGCACCUUACGAGAAAUCAAAGUGCUUGGGCUCCAGGGGGAGUAUGGUCGCAAGGCUGAAACUUAAAGAAAUUGACGGAAGGGCACCACCAGGGGUGGAGCCUGCGGCUUAAUUUGACUCAACACGGGGAAACUCACCAGGUCCAGACACAAUGAGGAUUGACAGAUUGAGAGCUCUUUCUUGGUUUUGUGGGUGGUGGUGCAUGGCCGUUCUUAGUUGGUGGAGUGAUUUGUCUGCUUGAUUGCGAUAACGAACGAGACCCUAACCUGCUAAAUAGCCCGUAUUGCUUUGGCAGUACGCUGGCUUCUUAGAGGGACUAUCGGCUCAAGCCGAUGGAAGUUUGAGGCAAUAACAGGUCUGCGAUGCCCUUAGAUGUUCUGGGCCGCACGCGCGCUACACUGACGGAGCCAGCGAGUACUUCCUUGGCCGAAAGGCCCGGGUAAUCUUGUUAAACUCCGUCGUGCUGGGGAUAGAGCAUUGCAAU